UACGGGGGGGGCAAGCGUUGUUCGGAAUUACUGGGCGUAAAGGGCUCGUAGGCGGCCAACUAAGUCAGACGUGAAAUCCCUCGGCUUAACCGGGGAACUGCGUCUGAUACUGGAUGGCUUGAGAUUGGGAGAGGGAUGCGGAAUUCCAGGUGUAGCGGUGAAAUGCGUAGAUAUCAAGAGGAACACCAGUGGCGAAGGCGAGUCCCUGGACAACACCUGACACUGAGGCACGAAAGCUAGGGGAGCAAACAGG
rnacentral:rRNA from 1 species